rnacentral:rRNA from 1 species
CCAAGGACUAUGACGGGUAUCCGGCCUUAAAGGGUGAACGGACACACUGGAACUGAGACACGGUCCAGACUCCUAUGGGAGGCAGCAGUGGGGAAUUUUGGACAAUGGGGGAAACCCUGAUCCAGCGACGCCGCGUGGAGGAUGAAGGCCUUCGGGUUGUAAACUCCUUUUAGAGGGGAAGAAAUAAAUGACGUUACCCUCAGAAAAAGCCACGGCUAACUACGUGCCAGCAGCCGCGGCAAUACGUAGGUGGCGAGCGUUACUCGGAAUUACUAGGCGUAAAGCGUAUAUAGGCUGUCGUAUAAGUCUUUAGUAAAAUUUCUCGGCUCAACCGGGAAAAGCUUAAGGAUACUGUUCGACUUGAGUGUGGGAGAGGGAAACGGAAUUCCUGGUGUAGCGGUGAAAUGCGUAKAUAUCAGGAGGAACACCGAUGGCGAAAGCAGUUUCCUGGACCAAUACUGACGCUGAUGUACGAAAGCUAGGGUAGCAAACAGGAUUAGAUACCCUGGUAGUCCUAGCUGUAAACUAUGUUCACUAGAUGUGGGGGGUAUCGACCCCUUCCGCGUCGUCGUUAACGCAUUAAGUGAACCGCCUGGGGAGUACGGCCGCAAGGUUGAAACUCAAAGGAAUUGACGGGGGCCCGCACAAGCGGUGGAGUAUGUGGUUUAAUUCGACGCAACGCGAAAAACCUUACCUGGGCUUGAACUGCUGAUGGUAAAAACCAGA